CAGUCUUCCCAGGGUCUGCGUACAGUCAGUGGUCAGAGAGAGUAAAGCUCUCGCAGAGGAUCCAUGCAGUGUAUGUGCUCUGAACUGUCUUCUGCAGGAGUCCUUCCCCUUCCACUGGCCCCGCUGAGCAUUUGAUUACCUGCAGCAGUCUUAGAAUCACCAUAUAGGAAAAUUCAGAGGAGACUUGUUCCCCCAGUACCCACCCCGCACUGUGCAGAAGACCCCAGAUGGAGUUGUAUCAUUCUUUCUAGCUUGGUGUCUACCACGGCCAACAGCUUGCUGUGCCAGCACUCCCGAUCCCCAGCUCAGGUAAGGGUGCUGCUGCUUCGUAUGUGGCUUUGUGGUGUGAUGUAGGAGGGGUGAGUGAGCCUUCUGGUGGAAUUAGGAUUCCUUAUAUCACCAGUCUUACCACAAGGGAGAGCAAGGCUUUA
rnacentral:lncRNA from 1 species